rnacentral:rRNA from 1 species
AGCGAACGCUGGCGGCAGGCCUAACACAUGCAAGUCGAGCGCCCCGCAAGGGGAGCGGCAGACGGGAGAGUAACACGUGGGAACGUACCUUUCAGUUCGGAACAACCCACGGGAAACUUGGGCGUAAUACCGAAUACGCCCGUAACGGGGAAGGAUUUAUCGCUGAAAGAUCGGCCCGCGUCUGAUUAGCUAGUUGGUGAGGUAAUGGCUCACCAAGGCGACGAUCAGUAGCUGGUCUGAGAGGAUGAUCAGCCUCAUU